rnacentral:misc_RNA from 1 species
GAUGAAGAACGUAGCGAAAUGCGAUAAGUAAUGUGAAUUGCAGAAUUCAGUGAAUCAUCGAAUCUUUGAACGCACAUUGCGCCCGCUAGUAUUCUGGCGGGCAUGCCUGUCCGAGCGUCAUUUCAACCCUCAAGCCCCCGGGCUUGGUGUUGGGGAUCGACGAGCCUCCGCGCCCGCCGUCCCCUAAAUCUAGUGGCGGUCUCGCUGUAGCUUCCUCUGCGUAGUAGCACACCUCGCACUGGGAAACAGCGCGGCCACGCCGUUAAACCCCCAACUUCUGAACGUUUGACCUCGGAUCAGGUAGGAAUACCCGCUGAACUUAAGCAUAUCAAUAAGCGGAGGA